rnacentral:rRNA from 1 species
CGUGUAGCCGGGCAGACAAGUCAGAUGUGAAAUCUGGAGGCUUAACCUCCAAACUGCAUUUGAAACUGCCUGUCUUGAGUGUCGGAGAGGUAAUCGGAAUUCCUAGUGUAGCGGUGAAAUGCGUAGAUAUUAGGAAGAACACCGGUGGCGAGGGCGGAUUACUGGACGAUAACUGACGGUGAGGCGCGAAAGCGUGGGAGCAAACA